AAACGUAGGAGGCAAGCGUUAUCCGAAUUUACUGGGCGUAAAGCGCGUGCAGGCGGCUCGAUAAGUUGGAUGUGAAAGCUCCCGGCUCAACUGGGAGAGGCCGUUCAAUACUGUCGGGCUAGAGGAUGGUAGAGGGAGGUGGAAUUCCCGGUGUAGUGGUGAAAUGCGUAGAUAUCGGGAGGAACACCAGUGGCGAAGGCGGCCUCCUGGCCCAUUCCUGACGCUCAGACGCGAAAGCUAGGGGAGCGAACGGGAUUAGAAACCCCGGUAGUCCUAGCUGUAAACGAUGUGGACUUGGCGUUGGUGGGGUAAAAUCCAUCAGUGCCGUAGCAAACGCGGUAAGUCCACCGCCUGGGGAUUACGACCGCAAGGUUAAA
rnacentral:rRNA from 1 species